UACAGAGGGUGCAAGCGUUAAUCGGAAUUACUGGGCGUAAAGCGUGCGCAGGCGGUUUUGAAAGUCAGAUGUGAAAUCCCCGGGCUCAACCUGGGAACUGCGUUUGAAACUCCAAAGCUAGAGUAUGGGAGAGGGGGGUAGAAUUCCACGUGUAGCAGUGAAAUGCGUAGAGAUGUGGAGGAAUACCAAUGGCGAAGGCAGCCCCCUGGCCUAACACUGACGCUCAUGCUCGAAAGCGUGGGGAGCGAACAGG
rnacentral:rRNA from 1 species